rnacentral:rRNA from 1 species
GGGAAGAGCUCAAAUUUGAAAUCUGGCAGUCUUCGAUUGUCCGAGUUGUAAUCUAUAGAGGCGUUUUCCGUGCCGGACCGUGUCCAAGUCUCCUGGAAAGGAGUAUCAAAGAGGGUGAUAAUCCCGUACUUAACACGACCACCGGUGCUCUGUGAUACGUCUUCUACGAGUCGAGUUGUUUGGGAAUGCAGCUCAAAAUGGGUGGUGAAUUCCAUCUAAAGCUAAAUAUUGGCGAGAGACCGAUAGCGAACAAGUACCGUGAGGGAAAGAUGAAAAGCACUUUGGAAAGAGAGUUAAACAGUACGUGAAAUUGUUGAAAGGGAAACGAUUGAAGUCAGUCGUGUUCUUUGGAUUCAGCCAGUUCUGCUGGUCUACUUCCUUGGAACGGGUCAACAUCAGUUUUGUCCGGUGGAUAAAGGUAGUAGGAAUGUGACUUCUCCGGAAGUGUUAUAGCCUAUUAUCACAUACACUGGGUGAGACUGAGGACUGCAGCUCGCCUUUAUGGCCGGCCUUCGGGCACGUUCGAGCUUAGGAUGUUGACAUAAUGGCUUUAAACGACCCGUCUU